UCACUAAACAAGUCUCCUUAGAGGAGAAAGUGUUACAUUAAGGACAAGAGAGAUGUACCAUUUGAUCAGCAAGCAUGAGGACGGACUUGAGAGAAAGUUUCCUGCUACAGAAAUUGAACAAGUCUUCAAGACUAGGUCCAAGUAAAUCCAUGACCAGAACAUUGUAGUCGCCUUCAACACCAAACCACUUGAGAUUUGGAACACCAGCUGCCAUGAUCAAAGGUUCAUUAGAGACUAAGGACAUAGUUAUAAAAAUAAAAAAUAAAGAAUCAAGAGAUGAGCUUUUACUUCCUCCCUGUAGAAGUCUGUAUAACUUGGAUUCAUAAAGCAGCUGUGGAUGUUUUGUCUUGGCAUUUUCCUGCAAAAACCUCAAAGAAUACUCUAGUCUUUGUCAUCGGCAUGGCGUACAGAAACGUUGGAUACUCAGCUUCUAAGCUCCGAACUUUCUGGUUCGUAUAAUCUCUGUAGUCCAUGAAAACCAUCUGCUCUGGAUCAUAUGGACUGUUUUCCACCUAAAAGUUUUCAAACAGAACAGUCCAAGAGAUUCAUAAUAGUUCCCUCCAGUAAUGAUUAUUAUUUACAGUGGAAUAUAUUAUUUUUCAUACUAUACCUCAACCUCCACGCCAUAUGCAGUUUGGACACAGACUCUAGGUCCUCCAAGUUCGUACUGCAAGAGCUUCCCUGAAGCUGCUCCAGACGCAACAGUGGCAAGGUAACAAAUAAACCCGGAAAAGUAAGAAAAUCAUACUAAAUUGACAUACAUUGUCCAUAGAUGUGAAAGAAACUUUGAAAAAUAAGUGAAAAUCAGACUAUUGUCCCACAUUAUCUUCAAUAUUGAUCUAAUUCAAGUAACUCUAGUAAAUGUUUUUAAAGCUCUAGCCAAUGUCAUCUAUAUAGUAAACAACAUACAUUGUACCACAUCAUCUUUAACAUUGAUCUAAUUCAAGUAACUUAUUAAAAUGUAUUUAAGCUCUAGCCAAUGUUCUCUUUAUAGUAAAGAACAAACGUUGUCUCUAUCUGCAAUUAAAAACCUUUCACAUGAUGUUAACUACACUAUUAUCUUCUGUAAAGAGAAAACAUUUUUACUAUUGCUAAAAGAUCCACAAUUACAACAUACAUAUACACACUGAUUCCAUUUCCAAACACUGAAUUUAAUGUAACUUCGUAGUAAAACAAAAAAAAAAACAAAGAAGAGUUACACGUAAAAAUGAGAAGAUUAAAAACAACACAAAAAAUACUGGUUUCUCUAAUAUAUAGAGUCGAAUCUUUAUAUGAUUAAUACAAACAUGACAUGUUUUUUCUCUUUCUAACCGAUAGAUCAAUGGUGGUGAUACCUUUCGUCAGAGACAUGGAGAGUCUCAAUGCCUUUAAUAGCAGAAUCAUACUGUUUCCUAGUGGAAGAAGAUCUCUUCCUCUCCGACGUUGAAACCAUCCCAGAGUUUCUCAAUCCACUGCCCGUACGGCUUCUCUGCAGCUCCUCAGACGUUACUCUCCUCGAUGAUCCUGCUGAUUGUCCGAACAGCGACGAGCUUGGCAUCUGUCAACAAUACAAAAAACAAAGUCAAUAAGCUUUUUUACUCUCCUUGUGAAAAAUAAGAAAAAUAGCAAUGUUUGAUACCAUUGGAGCUCUAACAGCAGCUGAUGAGUUCUCGAGAGCUCCUGAUGUUCUCCUUCUUGAUGAAUCCAUCGGUGGUCUCCCUCCAUCUUCCUCUAAACACAAAAAAAAAACAAUCAAAGCGUUAAAACAUCUUAUUGAACAAAAGUGCUCCUCUGAUUUUAAAGAUAUUCACCUCCGUAUCUAUCAGUGCUGGUCAAUCCUGGAGGCAAACCCGAACUGGUUCCAGCCGCAGGGCCACGUGUUGGAGGAGCUGUUAGCUGUGACUGUUGGUACUUCAGUAUGGUCCAGUCAAAGACAUAAUCGAAUUGAAACCCUGCGAUACAGAACGUGUAAGAAAGUGUGCAUCUUUUGAAGGAAAGAAAACAAAAGCUAUCAAGAACCUUCGCGGAUGAAGAGAUCUCUGAAUAUUCUUUUGAGAUAACCGUAAUCCGGUUUAUCAUCAAACCGGAGGGAGCGGCAGUAAUGGAAGUAAGAUGCGAAUUCAGAUGGGUAGCCACGGCAUAAGGACUGGAGGGAAGAUGAAACAAGUUUGUGUUAAUAAAGAAGAAGUAGAAGGAUCAAACUUUUGUGGUUGAGAGAGUUUACCUCAAUGGAUGUAGAGACUUUCUUUUCGCUGAUUCUCUCAUAUUUUUGUUUCUUGGUUCCAGCUUUAAGCCCUUGCCAUGGAAGACUGAGAAAAGAGAUUUAUAAUAAGGAAAUGUGGAGAAGGAAGUGAGACAAACGAGGCAUGUAAAUAGUACUCACCUUCCUUUAAGGAAAUACAUGAGAAUGUAACCAAGAGAUUCUAAGUCAUCCCUUCUGCUUUGUUCUAUAUGAUAGACAAAAGGUAUUAAUAAAGGACAGUGCAAGAGAAUCUGCAGAAGUUUAUUUGUAAAGCUUACCAAUUCCCAAGUGAGUGUUCAUACUAGCAUAUCUUGCAGUUCCAGUGAGAUUCUUGUUUUCUCUACAAUAUAGCAAAUGACAGCCGAGUUUAGAAUUAUGAGUAGGUAGAGGAAACGCAGAUUGAUUACAAGACAAUCAUCUCACCGGUAAGGAAUGUGCUGAUGAGUAGUGUUAUCUCUGUACUUCUUUGCAAGACCAAAGUCGAUGAUGUAUACCUUUAGAAACAUAUUAUAAGAGUAUCAUUUUCCGAGAUAACAAUUUCAAAAGUAAAGUGAGAACAGAAACAAACAUAUAGAUGAGAAGGGAACCUGGUUGGCGCGUCUCCCUAACCCCAUGAGGAAGUUGUCAGGCUUGAGAUCUCGGUGGAGGAAAGAUUUCGAAUGGAAAUACUCAACACGGUUUAUCUGAAUACAGUAAAAGAGUCGAUCACUAAACAAGUCUCCUUAGAGGAGAAAGUGUUACAUUAAGGACAAGAGAGAUGUACCAUUUGAUCAGCAAGCAUGAGGACGGACUUGAGAGAAAGUUUCCUGCUACAGAAAUUGAACAAGUCUUCAAGACUAGGUCCAAGUAAAUCCAUGACCAGAACAUUGUAGUCGCCUUCAACACCAAACCACUUGAGAUUUGGAACACCAG
rnacentral:lncRNA from 1 species